UACCAGCACCCCGAGUGGUCGGGACGAUUAUUGGGCCUAAAGCAUCCGUAGCCGGUUCUACAAGUCUUCCGUUAAAUCCACCUGCUUAACAGAUGGGCUGCGGAGGAUACUAUGGAGCUAGGAGGCGGGAGAGGCAAGCGGUACUUAGUGGGUAGGGGUAAAAUCCGUUGAUCCAUUGAAGACCACCAGUGGCGAAGGCGGCUUGCCAGAACGCACUCGACGGUGAGGGAUGAAAGCUGGGGGGAGCAAACCGG
rnacentral:rRNA from 1 species